GAGUCUUUGAAAAACCAACAGUUUCCAUAGGUCAGUUCUGACAUAAACAUAAGAAAUAUUUAGGUCAAGCUACGGAGCUGAUGGUGGUCGCUCAAUAAAAAGAUGUGCCCUGAACGAAUGCUUCCAUUUUUCAGAAGAGCAAUAUGUGGCUACAGGUUACUGCUUUUGUAAAGCUAUUACUUUUACUGUCAACAUGACUGCUGCCCUAAGACGUCUCAUUAGGUGGAAUAAAUUGAAGCAAACGGGCACAACAGUUGACCAAACACCCUCCUCCCCAGAUAUAUCUGCUGCAGCGAUUAAAAAAAUAAUAAAAAAUAAUAAAUAAA